rnacentral:lncRNA from 1 species
AAGGGCUGCAGAAAUGCCAACAAACCAAUGGACCUGAUCUUGGAUGAGGCCAAAGUCUGGAACAGAAGAUCCUGAUUCACUUAAUUUCCCUGGGGAUUGGAAAGACUUCAUUGUUGAAAAUAGUUCUAAAAAGUACAUGGCCACAGAGAUGACUACCAAACAACCAAGCCAAUCAAGGAAGAGGCCAAUGCAGGAGAGAAGAGGACUGAGAAGAGAACACACUGACCUCAGCAAUUUCUGUGGCCAUGUCAGAGGGCACCAGGAAGGUUACCUGAGCCUAUAAGACUGACUGGGAUAAGGUUCAGGAAAAGAGGGACAGGAAAGGAAAAAUUUGGUUUAACUAAAUCUAAGGCUCACUUAAAACUGUUUUGGUAAGUUUCCAAUUAUGCUUUUUAACAGAGCAAAUUUUACAAUCUUCUAAAUGUAAAAGUUGGAAAGACUCUACAAAUGAAAACAAUCUGGUGACACCUAAAGCCUAAAAUAAGCCCCAAAUGAUCUUAAUUAUUUAACUACCUCAGGCUAAGUGAGGUCGAAUACUUUACAAAGUGAAAUCUGAAUCAACCAUCUUUUCACUCACGCAGAGAACGCAGAAAGUGUCAUUAGGAAAAACUGGGCUUACAUCUCAGAUGCACCACAUCUCAACUGUGUGGUCACAACCAGUAGCUGAACAUUUCAGGAUCUGACUGUGGUCAUCUGUAAAAUGGGAACAAGGUCUGCUUGGGCUCUCUCCGAAGACUGGAUUAGAGCUUCCACAAGUUAACUUGA